GACGAACGCUGGCGGCGUGCUUAACACAUGCGAGUCGAACGGAAAGGCCCUGCUUUUGUGGGGUGCUCGAGUGGCGAACGGGUGAGUAACACGUGAGUAACCUGCCCUUGACUUUGGGAUAACUUCAGGAAACUGGGGCUAAUACCGGAUAGGAGCUCCUGCUGCAUGGUGGGGGUUGGAAAGUUUCGGCGGUUGGGGAUGGACUCGCGGCUUAUCAGCUUGUUGGUGGGGUAGUGGCUUACCAAGGAUUUGACGGGUAGCCGGCCUGAGAGGGUGAACGGCCACAUUGGGACGGAGUGACGGCCCAGACUCAUACGGGAGGCAGCAGUGGGGAAUAUUGCACAAAGGGCGGAAGACUGAUGCAGCAACGCAGCGUGCGGGAUGACGGAAUUCGGGUUGUAAACCGCUUUCGCCUGUGACGAAGCGUGAGUGAAGGUAAUGGGUAAAGAAGCACCGGCUAACUACGU
rnacentral:rRNA from 1 species